AUUGAACGCUGGCGGCAGGCCUAACACCUGCAAGUCGAACGAGUGGCGGACGGGUGAGUAAUGUCUGGGAAACUGCCUGCUGGAGGGGGAUAACUACUGGAAACGGUAGCUAAUACCGCAUACCAUCGGAUGUGCCCAGAUGGGCUUCGCUAGUAGGUGGGGUAAAGGCUCCCCGAGGCGACGAUCCCUAGCUGGUCUGAGAGGAUGACCAGCAACACUGGAACGGAGACACGGUCCAGACUCCUACGGGAGGCAGCAGUGGUGAAUAUUGCACAAUGGGCGCAAGCCUGAUGCAGCCAUGCCGCGUGGAUGAAGAAGGCCUUCGGGUUGUAAAGUACGUUCAGCGGGGAGGCGUUACCAGCAGAAGAAGCACCGGCUAACUCCGUGCCAGCAGCCGCGGUAAUAC
rnacentral:rRNA from 1 species